rnacentral:rRNA from 1 species
GCGGUAAUUCCAGCUCCAAUAGCGUAUAUUAAAGUUGUUGCAGUUAAAACGCUCGUAGUCGGAUUUCGGGGCGGGGCGACCGGUCUGCCGAUGGGUAUGCACUGGUCGGCGCGUCCUUCCUUCCGGAGACCGUUCCUACUCUUAACUGAGCGGGGACGGGAGACGGAUCGUUUACUUUGAAAAAAUCAGAGUGUUUCAAGCAGGCAGCUCGCUUUGCAUGGAUUAGCAUGGGAUAAUGAAAUAGGACUUUGGUGCUAUUUUGUUGGUUUCGAACACCGAAGUAAUGAUUAAUAGGGACAGUCAGGGGCACUCGUAUUCCGCCGAGAGAGGUGAAAUUCUCAGACCAGCGGAAGACGAACCACUGCGAAAGCAUUUGCCAGGGAUGUUUUCACUGAUCAAGAACGAAAGUUAGGGGAUCGAAGACGAUCAGAUACCGUCGUAGUCUUAACCAUAAACCAUGCCGACUAGGGAUCGGAGGAUGUUCACUAAUUGACUCCUUCGGCACCUUACGGGAAACUAAAGUCUUUGGGUUCCGGGGGGAGUAUGGUCGCAAGGCUGAAACUUAAAGGAAUUGACGGAAGGGCACCACCAGGAGUGGAGCCUGCGGCUUAAUUUGACUCAACACGGGGAAACUUACCAGGUCCAGACAUUGUGAGGAUUGACAGAUUGAGAGCUCUUUCUUGAUUCGAUGGGUGGUGGUGCAUGGCCGUUCUUAGUUGGUGGAGUGAUUUGUCUGGUUAAUUCCGUUAACGAACGAGACCGUUGCCUAUUAAAUAGUGACGCGAACACUUCGUUCGUGGCGCACUUCUUAGAGGGACAACUUGUUUUCAACAAGUGGAAGUUAGCGGCAAUAACAGGUCUGUGCUGCCCAAGG